GAUGAACGCUGGCGGCGUGCCUAAUACAUGCAAGUCGAGCGAACAGACGAGGAGCUUGCUCCUCUGACGUUAGCGGCGGACGGGUGAGUAACACGUGGAUAACCUACCUAUAAGACUGGGAUAACUUCGGGAAACCGGAGCUAAUACCGGAUAAUAUAUUGAACCGCAUGGUUCAAUAGUGAAAGACGGUUUUGCUGUCACUUGUAGAUGGAUCCGCGCCGCAUUAGCUAGUUGGUAAGGUAACGGCUUACCAAGGCAACGAUGCGUAGCCGACCUGAGAGGGUGAUCGGCCACACUGGAACUGAGACACGGUCCAGACUCCUACGGGAGGCAGCAGUAGGGAAUCUUCCGCAAUGGGCGAAAGCCUGACGGAGCAACGCCGCGUGAGUGAUGAAGGUCUUCGGAUCGCAAAACUCUGUUAUUAGGGAAGAACAAAUGUGUAAGUAACUAUGCACGUCUUGACGGUACCUAAUCAGAAAGCCACGGCUAACUACGUG
rnacentral:rRNA from 1 species